rnacentral:tRNA from 1 species
GGGGAUGUAGCUCAGUGGUAGAGCGCACGCUUCGCAAGUGUGAGGCCCCGGGUUCAAUCCCCGGCAUCUCCA